GACGAACGCUGGCGGCGUGCCUAAUACAUGCAAGUCGAACGAAGCUGUUUUAACUGGUGCUUGCACCGACUUAAACAACUGAGUGGCGAACGGGUGAGUAACACGUGGGUAACCUGCCCCAAAGCGGGGGAUAACAUUUGGAAACAGAUGCUAAUACCGCAUAACCACAGAAACCACAUGGUUUCUGUGUCAAAGAUGGUUUCGGCUAUCACUUUGGGAUGGACCAGCGGCGUAUUAGCUAGUUGGUAAGGUAAUGGCUUACCGAGGCAAUGAUACGUAGCCGAACUGAGAGGUUGAUCGGCCACAUUGGGACUGAGACACGGCCCAAACUCCUACGGGAGGCAGCAGUAGGGAAUCUUCCACAAUGGACGAAAGUCUGAUGGAGCAACGCCGCGUGAGUGAAGAAGGUUUUCGGAUCGUAAAACUCUGUUGUCAGAGAAGAACGUGUGCGAGAGUAACUGUUCGUGCAGUGACGGUAUCUGGCCAGAAAGCCACGGCUAACUACGUGCCAGCCGCCGCAGUAA
rnacentral:rRNA from 1 species